CACUUGGGGGAGAAUGCAAAGCUAGUAGUAAUAAAGAACACAGGCCAUGCAGUGAAUUUGGAGAAGCCCGGGGAGUUUGCCAAGCACUUGAAAUCAUUCCUCAUUGAUUCUUCUCAGUCAGUUGCUUCCAAGGACGAUCGUGUAGAUUGAACUCAUUCCUCAUCGAUUCACCUCUGUACCUUCUCAUUAUAUGACUUCAUUUCCUGCCUUUUCCAUAACUGCAUUCAAAAUUUUUGUCACCUUUUUUGUUUUCUAAUCCACAAAACUUGUAAAGUUUCGAGA
rnacentral:lncRNA from 1 species